rnacentral:tRNA from 1 species
GGUAUAAAUAAAACUAUGUUACGGCCAUAGUAUCGACAGGACUCUGUCUUAUGCUU